CAACGCCGCUUCACCCCUCGAGGCCGGGAUGUCAGGACACACCUAUUUCGGAUCCUCACAGGGCAGCUGUCCCGGGGCAAGGCAGCAAUCUCUUUAUCAGCCACUUCCUAAAACAGAAGAUCACAGCACGGAGUUUAAGAAACACCAGGUAGCAGCAAUUAGAAUUUCAGAAGAGUAAAAGCUCAGUAAGAUCAAAGAAAAUGCAGACCAAAGGAAGACACUCGAGUUCAGGUAAGCGUCCUGAACUGCUGUAGUCUUGAUAUGCUCUACUCUAAAGGAUGGAAGGGCUCAAAGGAUCCUGGGUUGUCACAUUCGGAAGUCACAGAAAGACAACUGGGGGUAAAAGCAAGAUCUGAUGCCGGGUUAUGCAAACUCUCUUUAUGCUGCAUGAAAUGCUGAACAACAGUUUUUCAACACUUCGAACAAACUUUUAACAGAAGCGCUGAAAAGCAGUAACAUCAGGGUAUCUUUGAAAGGAUUCUCACCUUUAAAGAGCACCAGACCGAGACAGCCACCACUGGGUUUUCAACUUUAUCAACAAGAUGGAUUUGAUGAGCCAUGGAGAAGUGAGAUGCUUGGGGCUGGUCUCCUAUCCCAUCUCUGCAUCCCUUUCAUAUGCAGAGAAGCUAGAAGCUUGCCAUGUGGCUGCUCUUGCGUCUGUGUGAGGUCCUGUCUACGGAGCGAAGCUCUAGCAGCAGAAAACACUCAGCCUGCAAAGCCCUUGGGCCAUGAGCCUUUUAGCCCAGCCAAGGAGGGGGUUGUCUUCACCACAAGUGCACGUGCACCAGGUUCAUCUGAAGACACUUGCUGUGUUUGCAGCUCAGGCCGAUGAGCAUGCUGUCUUUCAGCUCACCCCCCUCCCAGCGACUGAGAAUGGCAAAGGCAAGUGGU